GUGUCAAUCUCUAGACUAGAUGUAUUUUUCACAAACUGGACAUACUAGCUCACCUUUUGUACUCCAAAUCGAUAUUAGAUCAUAAGAUGGAAAGUCGUUUAUUGUCCAUAUAAGCACCAUGCACAUAAAAAAUGACUCAUUCAUCAAAGCAUCAAAAGUUGGAACACCCUGAUCCCACAUCUAUUUCAGCUCGACAAUAAGAGGCUGCAAAUAAACAUCAACAUCAUUUCUUACCUUCAUCGGUCC
rnacentral:lncRNA from 1 species